UACAUACUCCCUCCGUUCGGAAUUACUCGUCCAAGAAAUGAAUGUAUCUAGAUGUAUUUUAGUUGUAGAUACAUCCAUUUUUGUGACAAGUAAUUUCGAACGGAGGGAGUACUAC
rfam:Triticum aestivum genome assembly, contig: Triticum_aestivum_CS42_TGACv1_scaffold_162353_2DL